rnacentral:rRNA from 1 species
UACGAAGGGGGCGAGCGUUGUUCGGAAUUACUGGGCGUAAAGGGCGCGCAGGCGGCUCUGAAAGUCAGAUGUGAAAGCCCCGGGCUUAACCUGGGAACUGCAUUUGAUACUCUAGAGCUUGAGUACGGGAGAGGAGAGUGGAAUUCCCAGUGUAGAGGUGAAAUUCGUAGAUAUUGGGAAGAACACCGGUGGCGAAGGCGGCUCUCUGGACCGUAACUGACGCUGAGGCGCGAAAGCAUGGGGAGCGAACAGG